rnacentral:rRNA from 1 species
UGUAAGCGUAUACCAAAGUUGUUGCAGUUAAAACGCUCGUAGUCGGAAUUUGGCAGUUCCUGAUGUGUGCACGUCGUGUGCGCACUUCGCGGGGAUUGCUUUUGUGGUCUUGCGUAGGAUGAGGCACUUUUAUUAGUGAACGUCCUCACGCAACCACUUUUUACUGUGAGAAAAUCAGAGUGCUCAAAGCAGGCAUUUGCCGUGAAUGUAUUAGCAUGGAAUAAUAGAAUAGGACUUGGUUCUAUUUUGUUGGUUUGUUGGGACUGAGUAAUGAUUAAGAGGGACAGUUGGGGGCAUUUGUAUUUCGGUGCUAGAGGUGAAAUUCUUAGAUUACCGAAAGACAAACUGCUGCGAAAGCGUCUGCCAAGGAUGUUUUCAUUGA